rnacentral:lncRNA from 1 species
CAUGCCUGUAAUCCUAGCACUUUGGGGGACCAAGUCAGGCAGAUCACUUUAGGUCAGGAGUUCAACGCCAGCCUGGCCAACAUGGUGAAACCCGCUGUCUACUAAAAAUACAAAAAAGUUAGCUGAGUAUGGUGGCGGUCACCUGUAACCCAAGCUACUUGGGAGUCUGAAGCAGUAGAAUCGCUUAAACCCAGGAGGUGGAGGUUGCAGUGAGCCGAGUCACGCCACUGCACUCCAGCCUGGGUGACAGAGCAAGACUCCAUCUCAAAAAAAAAAAAAAAAAAAAGCAAAAAAGGAGUUAUGCCUUAAGGGUUUUAAUAUAGCAUUGUGCCACUUGGAGUAUGAUACAACAAACCAAGUAUAUUAGGCAUUCUUGAAUGCUAGAUGAAUGAUACCGUUUAGUGUAUAGAAAAACUGAUUCAGUGUACAGUUUAAAGAUUGAAAUUUUAGAAUAAAAAUUAAGAUCCACACUUCAUGAGAAAAUUUGACCACCACAUUGAAGUGAUAGUUUGCAUGUCUGGUUUUAGGUCCUUUGUAACAAACUCUACUUAAAAAAAAAAAAGAAAAGAAAAGAAAAGAAAAGAAAGAAAGGAAUUAGGGAGUGCUUAGUGAUAUUCUUCUUGGCUGAGUUAAAGCAGUUUACUAGACUCAGCUUGAUCUUUGCCUGUUACUGCUGUCUAGACGCCUUCCAUUCAUUGUAUUACGGAUUUGGUUCAAGAUGUCCAACUUCCUCUUUUCUCACAAUAGAGAAUGUAACAUAACAGACAUCUAUAAUUAGUUACUUAAAAAUACUUUCUGAGGAAGACAAUAUUAAGAACAGCCUGCCAUCAUAUCCACCUAUUUGCAGCCUAACUUCUCUUUUCCUUUUAAAGAAACCUCCCAAGAAGCUUGUCCUGAGCUCCUAGGACUACUCCUGAAGCACAUUCAUUGACUCCAGAGACUCAGGAUAGGAGGGCAGCCACCCCCACAAACACUCUCACUUCCGAGCUUCUUCUGGGUUAUGUCACUUUCCUUAGCUCCCCAUGGAAUGAGACAUUUAAAUUACAACAGCCCAUUCAGAGAAACACAACAGCUGCCAAUUUGACCUUCUCUCGGGAUUUGUGUUUGAAAGAGGGUCCUAGUUGUCUGGUUCACUCCAGAAAAUUACUACAGAUGAUGUAGUUGGGUCAUGUGACACAUGGUUAAAAAAAUAAACAACUCUCCUGUUGACAUAUGACCUACAACUAAGACAGAGGCUUUAGUCCAUAUGGUGAAAUAUUGGGCUCUGAGGAAAUGUCCAUAGCUUUGGUUUUCUUAGCAUGGAAAACCAAUUUGUAUUUUCAUAUUAGGCUUAAUCUCAACUGGGUGAGGCUUGUGGUAUCUCAAUAAAUCUGUACUAUGUAAAAGUUGCUUUCUGCUUGGCAAGAGCAAACUACAAAAACUUGAAAUGAGAGACUUUAAGAACCAUUAUGUAUGCACUCCCUGGCUGCUGGGUUGCUGACCUGGGGCUUUUUACCUGGUGGUCUGAUGAGUCAUGCCAUUCAAAAAAAGAGAAGACAGCAAAGAUAUUUGAAUGGUUAGCUAUACAGGCAAUUAAAAACCUGCUGGGUGGGCUCUUUCCCCGCGAGGCCAAGAUGCUGAUUUGGAAGAUAACAGUGGAUUCUUUCUCUGGUGCCUACUAAUAUUCUAGAAAUGGAGUACAUAGAGAAACUGAAGCCAGGCUCAGAAAAGACAGCCCACAGACUUAGUGUUCAAGUAAUUUACACUCUUGACAGGUCUCUAAGAGGUAACUUUUUCUUUUUAAAAAAUUUCAGCUAUAAUAUUGACUUGGAAGAACAAUCUGGACACAAGCAAGCUUGAUCAUAGUGCUGUAACACAACUCAGUGUCUUGUCUCUUAGACCAGCUCCUGAGUUCUCUCUCUUUCUCUCUCUCUCUUUAUGCUGAUGCUGUCGGCACUCACCAACAGCCAGGCUGGAGACCUUGGAAUCCUCACUGACUCACUUUCCUUACCAAGGCAUAAGAUGAGUCUAUUUUUCGAAUAUUUCUUGUCUCUUUAUCUCCUCCUUUUUGCCCCUCCCACCACAAAAGUUGAGAAUUUCAUCUUCUCACAAUGGGGGUAUAAAAAGUUCCUCAAAUUCUCUACAGUCUUCUUCUCCCUUUCGUUAUAUGCCCCCAGAAUGAUCGUUCUAAAAUGCAAGUCUAAGCACACUACAGCUUAAAAACCUUCAGUGACUCACCUUUACCUCAGGAACGAGGGCAGGUUUUUAAUAUGGCAUAAAAUUUGGAUUUACAAGUCAUCUGACCUAUCCUAAAUUCCUGCUCUGUGGGACCUAUCUCAUUCUACCAGAGGGUGUCAGAUUCUUAUCAGUUUCACACCAGGCCGGCCAGCCCUGUUCUUUGCCCGAAUUGCUCUUUACUUUCUUUACUUGCUGAUUCCUUUUCGUCUUCUGAUGGCUGUCUCAAUUGUUCUCUUCUCUGUUAGCCUUCCCUAACCUCCUCAGUGUUUUCUAACCCCCUCCUGGGAGCUCUCUAAUGUAUUGCUUCUAUUAGAGCACAUACCAUGGUACACUAUAGUUAUCUGUUGACUAGGGAGUGAUGUCCUCAGCCGUUGUCAGAUAUAUGGUAAAAAUCAGUGAAUGUUUGUUGAAUGACUAUAUACAAAGCAAGUUUCUUCCUAGAACAUGUUUUUGACCUGGUAGAAUUUUGUUUCUGGCCUUCUGAUUUCUCUGAGGUACAAAGUGCUUCAAAAGGAAGAGUUGUAGGACCUUUGAUUGACAACCUAAAAAGAACUGUGUAAGGAUAUGCCAGCACUUGAAUCUGAGGACAAUGGAAAAUAGAAAUCUGAUUGGAAUAAACUGGUCACAUGUGGAGGACAUGCUACCAUAUAAGUACAGGGAAAACAAAUUAGGGUGAUCCAUAGAAAGCAAAUCAGGGUUCUUGGAAAAAAAUAUUGAAAAUGGAGGUAGUAGUUCUGGCUGACCUAAAUGCAUAAUGUUUCAUUAAUUUUUUGCUGACAGAUCCUUUCUCUCUAACGUAGCUCUCUGUGUCUUCUUCUUACUAACUAUGUGAUCUUGAGGAACUCAGGCUAUGUCUCAGAUUUCUCAUAUUUAAAAAAGGAGGGAAAAUGCCUGCCCUGCCAACAUCAUAGGUUUGUUUUGAUUUCCAAAAUACAGGGAAUAUGUAAUAACAUAGUUUUGGCCUAUUCAUCACAUUUCUUUCUUUGUUUUUUCUUCAGUUUUUUGUUGUUUAUUACAGUUCCCUUUUUUUAUUAUUAUACUUUAAGUUCUGGGGUACAUGUGCAGAACGUGCAGGUUUGUUACAUAGGUAUACACGUCCCAUUGUGGUUUGCUGCACCCAUCAACCCGUCAUCUAUAUUAGGUAUUUUUCCUAAUGCUAUCCCUCCCCUAGCCCCCCACCCCCCAACAGGCCCUGGUGUGUGAUGUUCCCCUCCCUGUGUCCAUGUGUUCUCAUUGUUCAACUCCCACUUAUGAGUGUGAACACACAGUGUUUGGUUUUCUGUUCUUAUGUUAGUUUGCUGAGAAUGAUGGUUUCCAGCUUCAUCUAUGUCCCUAUUCAUCACAUUUCUAAUAGUAAAUGAAUGUAGAGAAGAAAUGCUGAUUUUGUGACUAUUUGUCAUGUAUUGACUAAUGUAACACUUUAGAAGAUAUAAUUAUAUUUAAAUUCAUCACUAAAUUAGCCAUUUUGUGUUUUCAAAGAAAGUUAAGAAUGACCUAAAAUGUUAACUGGGCAUGGUGGCUCAUGCCUGUAAUCCUAGCACUUUGGGAGGCUGAGGCAGUCGGACUGCUGAGUCUAAGAGUUUGAGACCAGCCUGGGCAACAUGGCAAAACCCUGUCUCUACAAAAAAUAUAAAAAUUAACUAGGGGUUGUGGUGUGCACCUGUAGUCCUAGUUACUUCUGGGGGUGAGGUGGGAGGAUCACGUGAACCUAGGAGGUCAGGGAUACAGUGGCCUGAUCACAGCUCACCGCAGCCUCAACAACCCUGACAGAGAGACCCUGUCUCAUUAAAAAAAAAAAAAGACCUAAAAUAUUGAGUGAAGGCUUUUCUCAUCAGAAUUCUGAAGCUAUUUUACUGUACUCGUCCAACUCAGAAAUGCAAUUAUGUAGGUAAUUAUAGUUUGUAUUUGGAGAUUAGAAUUCAUCCUAUGAGUAGUUUGCAUAUGCAUAUCAUACACAAAGUGCUGGAAUUAUAUUAUGACAUUUUAAAGUAAAAUAAAUGGUUGAACUAAAUGAAUUUGUUUAUACUGUCACCUGUUAGCGCUUGAUAUUGUAAAAAUGAAGAAGUUUGAGAAUGUGAUAUUAAUAUGCUUUUAAAACAACUUUAUAGAAUUUGAUAGCUAUUAUAAUUAUAAUUAUAAACAGUAUCAAGCCAAGUUAAUAGAUAAAUCUUUUGGAACUGCCUUUCUUUAUAAUAAGUAAAUAAAAAUAAUCAGUAAUUCACCUGCAAUAAUUUGCAUGAAACUGGGUACAAACCACUUUUUGCUGUGCGUUCCUCAUUUCAUAUUAGUGGUUGAGAAACGUUUCCUGGCUGAGUAGUUAACAUGUGAAUAAUGCUUAUCGAAUUAACGUAUUUGAAGUAUUAGAAAGUCUUAAGCUCUUUUUCCUGUCAUCGUAUUUAUAAUUUUCAUUUCCAUUAACCAGGUAAAUAAAGUUUGUUAAGUGAAGAUAAUCCUCCCUAUUCUUUUUCUAAUGAAAUAUCAAUGAGAAUUCCAUUUAAAAUCAUUUGUGGAAAGAGAUGUGAAUAGUUAGCACUAUAAAUAACGUUUUUGUCUAUUUUUAAAUAGGAUCUGAUGCCAUCAAAAGUCACAAGAACUGGCCGGGCAAGGUGGCUCACGCCUGUAAUCCCAGCACUUUGGGAGGUCAAGGCUGGCGGAUCACGAGGUCAGGAGAUUGAGACCAUCCUGGCUAACACAGUGAAACCACGUCUCUACUAAAAAUACAAAAAAUUAGCCAGGCAUGGUGGCGGUCGCCUGUAAUCCCAGCUACUCGGGAGGCUGAGGCAGGAGAAUGGCGUGAACCCGGGAGGCGGAACUUGCCGUGAGCCGAGAUCACGCCACUGCACUCCAGCCUGGGCGACAGAGUGAGACUCUGUCUCAAAAAAAAAAAGUCACGAGAACUGUCUGGAAAUGUGAGCAAUUUCAAGCGAGAGAUUAGUUGUUUUACAAAGUUCAUUAAAAUAUGCAUCAACCAUUCUUCAUCUCUUUGAAUAAAGGUAGGACACUAUGUAAUUUUAUGUAGAUUUCUUCCAGCUGAUAUUAAAUUUUGAAUGCAGAACUAAAUGAAUUUGUUUGUGUUGUCAGCUUUGGAUACCUGAUGUUAUAAAACUGCAGUUCUAAUUGGAAAUGUGAUUCUGAUAUACUCCCUUUAGGAGUUUGACUGUUUUACUUACUUUAUGAAGCAAGAAAUAAUAAUAAAAUUUUAGCUCUCAUAAUCAAGAGCCAUUUGAAUACUCAUAAAUUAAAAAUAUUUAGAUGUCAAGACAGUAAAGCCUAUGACAUGAAAAGGACCAGAUAACUAGUUAAAUGAAUUUCCAUGGGUCAAGUUGCACAAGUAACAUAGUCUAGAAGUGUGGAUUAAUUUUCACUCCGAUAACGCGUUAUCUUGCUUAAAUGUGAUUAAAAAUCCCCACUGGGUUCUAUGUUAAUCUUUCCUCCAAAGAUUUGGAUCUUAUCAAGUUUGGGAGCUACUUUGGAAGUAGAGAGUGCUCUCCAAAAGAACUCUCAAGAGGCAGUAUCAGUUUUUACAAUCUACUCUGGGGUAAUGAGAGAGUGGUUGAGUUUACAUAGAUUAUCACUUAUGGCUGCCUCCCUGGCUUGACAUUGUACAGGGGGAGAGCUCAAAGCUCAGUGAGGCUCAGACGAGGUCAGACACAGAGAAAUUUGGAGACCAUUUUUAGUGAUUUGACUUAAGAUGCUUUAGGUUUUGUUUUGUUUGUAUUAUCUUCUUUUAAUGCCUCAAAAAUUUCCCUCUCUAUAACGAGCCUUUGCUCUAAAAAAUUCCCUAUGUAAUUUAUUUAGCAAACAUGCAUUGAGUGUCUGUCAUGUGCCAAUUACUAUGCUGGGGGCUGGGGAUGUAGCAGUGAAUGAGGACAAUGAAAUGCUUGCCCUUCUAGGACUGACAGUGGCGAAGAGGUUAGCAUUAACUAGACAAUACACAAGAGCAAUAAGGGCCCUGAAAAUAUCUUUCUUCCUUAAAUACUGUCUUUCACUCCAUUCUUCUCUUAUGGGACUUAAAGGAUAUGUUCAAGUUCUCCUGUUACUUUAUAUUUGAAUACAAUGAACAUUCAUUUAUUGAUUCAUUUACUCUCUUCUUUCAAUAAGUAUAAAUUGACUAAGUCAUCUUUCUAACAAUUGAAUAAUAGUAAGAUUCAUUAGUCCUGCCCUCAAGCAUCCUAUGGCCUAGGGUGGGAGAUAAUAUAUGUAUAUACAUCAUGAUGAUUUUGCCACUCCAUACAGUUAUGAAAAUACAGAUAAAAGGUUAUUUCCAAUUAACAGAGUCAGGAAAGCCUCCCUGGAUGAAGAAGCUGUAAACUGGGCCUUAUGAUUAGAGCGGUUAUAUGCAUAUGGCAAAAGGAGAGAAGCUAUUCCAGGUAAAAGCCACAAAAAUAAAGGCAGAAAGUUGGGAAUUCAGAAUCAACAAAGGAGCAGCAACCAUUCAGUCUGGCUGACUUCUCAUCUCAUUUUUGAUAGAGUGGGUUAGGGAUGAGGUAGAGGUAUGGAAAGAAAAGAGGAUAGUUAUAAGUGACUAAUAAAUGUUUGUUGCCAAGGACCACCACAGAAUCCUCAUUAUUUGGAAGCUCCUUUAUGGAAUAUGCUUUGAAAUUUAGGGUGUUCUACAACUACCCCACCACACAGGGCUAGUCCUGUAAGUUUCAAUUAUCUGAAGUUAUUCUAGUUACACAGGAAUGCACAAUAUUAAAAUUAACAGAUAUUGAGGCCAAAUAAUCAACAAUAGCUGGAAGCAUGUACCUUGGAAAGAUAUGUCCUCAUUUUGAAAUUGAAUCCCAGACAAAACUCCUGGAAUUUCAGGUUUGGUUACAAAUAUUGAACUUGUAUGAAGUUCACCGAAGUUCAUUUCCAUGGAGCCUGGAGUGAGUUAGGCAUAAAUCAUAACCAGCCGAGGUGGAAGCCCAUAUGCAUACAUUCAUAGGUACAGACAGACAAACCCCAGUCCUUCAUAGCUUCAGAUGGAAACCAUAUGAAAUGUCAUGGCCUUGCACAGCUUCAGCCAGAAGCCUGGGCAGCUCUGUGCCUUCCGCUGGGGCUCUCUCAGUGGUUUUAUUUCCGAUUGAUCCUGAGUGUAUAGCAGGGUGCCCAACCUGCCCAUGGAAACUAAGAAGCUUGAGGAAAUAGCUGGGUCGAAACUAUGAAACUGUGCUCACUGUUCAAACCUAUGUUCUGUAAAAUUUACAACAGAUUCAGUCACCUCACAUUUCCAUGUAAAUUACUGCUCGAGAGGGAAGCUUGUCUUGCUGGGGCUUCCACUGUUGAAUUUUUAAAAUUGACAACACCUUCUGUUCCUAGCUGGAAUUAUGAGACAAAGAAAAAAGAGAACGAGAGGGAGAAAAUGUUCUAUCUUACUUCAACAGGCUCCGUUUUAUUGCAGGUAAUCUAUUAUGUUAGCAUUUUGAUUUACCUGUAAAAUACAUACAUUUAUCACAGUUUCUAAUUGUUUUGUGAAUGGUAUUUAGCUUAUAAAAGAAUAAAAGCUGUGACUAGCAAUGCUUUUGCUACACUUUCCUGGUUUAGUAAAUCUUAAGAAAAGUUCAGCAUUGCCUCCACUGGGACUUUUCUUCUUUAUGGAAACCAAAGGUGCAAACUUUAGAAAUAAAUAGAUGCUGAAGAGCGUCUAAUAUGAAUGUGCUUGAAUAAUUUACAUGAUGCUUUGGUGUUUUGUUGAAGAACAUUAGACAGAAAGACUUGUGUAAUAUGGCCUAAUGUGUAUUUAUUACAUGAACUUAAAA